rnacentral:SRP_RNA from 2 species
GCCGGGCAUGGUGGUGCAUGCCUGUAAUCCAAGCUACUCAGGAGGCUGAGGCAGGAGAGUCGCUUGAACCCAGGAGGGGGAGGCUGCAGUGAACCGAGAUCACACCGCUGCACUCUGGCCUGGGCGACAAAGCGAGACUCUGUCUCAA